rnacentral:rRNA from 1 species
AGAGUUUGAUCCUGGCUCAGGAUUAACGCUGGCGGCGUGCCUAACACAUGCAAGUCGAGCGAGAAGCAGUGAAGGGAGUCUUCGGACAAACGGAACUGUGGACAGCGGCGGACGGGUGAGUAACGCGUGGGCAACCUGCCCCUUUCCGGAGGAUAGCCAAGGGAAACUUUGAAUAAUACUCCAUAAAGCAGAGAUGUCGCAUGGCAAUUCUGCCAAAGAUUUAUCGGAGAGGGAUGGGCCCGCGUCUGAUUAGCCAGUUGGUGAGGCAGCGGCUCACCAAAGCGACGAUCGGUAGCCGGCCUGAGAGGGUGAACGGCCACAUUGGAACUGAGACACGGUCCAGACUCCUACGGGAGGCAGCAGUGGGGAAUAUUGCACAAUGGGCGGAAGCCUGAUGCAGCAACGCCGCGUGAAGGAAGAAGGUUUUCGGAUCGUAAACUUCUGUCCCUGGGGAAGAAAGAAAUGACGGUACCCAAGGAGGAAGCCCCGGCUAACUACGUGCCAGCAGCCGCGGUAAUACGUAGGGGGCGAGCGUUAUCCGGAAUUACUGGGCGUAAAGAGUGCGUAGGUGGUUAUGCAAGCGCGGGGUAUAAGGCUAGGGCCUAACCGUAGUUCGCCCCGCGAACUGCGUAACUUGAGUACAGGAGGGGAAAGCGGAAUUCCUAGUGUAGCGGUGAAAUGCGUAGAUAUUAGGAGGAACACCAGUGGCGAAGGCGGCUUUCUGGACUGCAACUGACACUGAGGCACGAAAGCGUGGGUAGCAAACAGGAUUAGAUACCCUGGUAGUCCACGCCGUAAAACGAUGGAGCCACUUAGGUUUCGGGGCACGAGAGUUGUUCGGUGCCCGGAGCAAACGCAUUAAGUGCUCCCCCUGGGGAGUACGCACGCAAGUGUAAAACUCAAAGGAAUUGACGGGGACCCGCACAAGCAGCGGAGCAUGUGGUUUAAUUCGAAGCAACGCGAAGAACCUUACCAGGGCUUGACAUCCUGCUGACAGGCCUGAUAACGAAGGCCCUCUCUUCGGAGCAGCAGAGACAGGUGGUGCAUGGUUGUCGUCAGCUCGUGUCGUGAGAUGUUGGGUCAAGUCCCGCAACGAGCGCAACCCUUGCUACUAGUUGCCAUCAUUAAGUUGGGCACUCUAGUGGGACUGCCGGGGACAACCCGGAGGAAGGCGGGGAUGACGUCAAAUCAUCAUGCCCCUUAUGUUCUGGGCUACACACGUGCUACAAUGGCUGUCACAGAGGGCGAAGGAGAAAUCCGGAGGUAAUCCCUAAAGGCAGUCCCAGUUCGGACUGCAGGCUGAAACCCGCCUGCACGAAGUCGGAGUUGCUAGUAAUCGCAGAUCAGAAUGCUGCGGUGAAUGCGUUCCCGGGUCUUGUACACACCGCCCGUCACACCAUGGAAGCUGGGGGUGCCCGAAGUCGGUCUAGGCUGCCUAAGGUAAAACCGGUGACUGGGGUGAAGUCGUAACAAGGUAGCCGUAGGAGGGGCCUGCGGCUGGAUCACCUCCUUUCU